rnacentral:misc_RNA from 1 species
GGUCAUGUCGCUCAAGGCCGUCAAGUACAUCGAUGCAGCACACUUCGCCGUCCCCCACGGCCAGCAUGCCGUCGAGCUCCUAGGUGGCAAGGAAAGUGUCCUCGUCCAGGAGGUGCGGACAGUCCGCAGACGCGUAUACGUUCUCAGCUUCGCUGUGGGUGAUGCCCGGAAUGCAUGCAAGGGGGAAAUGAUGGUGGAGGCGUUCGCUGGCAGGGAUACGGUGAAGGUGAAGUAUGAGUCGAUGGCGGCCGGUGGGUCCAAGAGGGCGAUGCUUCGGUUCACGGCGGUGGAUGAUCGGACCCGCGUGGUUUUCUAUAGCUCCUACUAUCAUACUCGGAGCGACGAUCUCAGCUCGCUCUGUGGGCCAGUGAUAGACGACGUUGCGGUGGUGAGCGUCCGCAGGCUGAAGGGUUGAAGGGCCACGAGUGUUCGUGAAUUUAAUUAGAGCUGGU